rnacentral:rRNA from 1 species
UGGGGAAUUUUGGACAAUGGGCGAAAGCCUGAUCCAGCAAUGCCGCGUGUGUGAAGAAGGCCUUCGGGUUGUAAAGCACUUUUGUCCGGAAAGAAAUCCUCUGGGUUAAUACCUCGGGGGGAGUGACGGUACCGGGAAGAAUAAGCACCGGCUAACUACGUGCCAGCAGCCGCGGUAAUACGUAGGGUGCAAGCGUUAAUCGGAAUUACUGGGCGUAAAGCGUGCGCAGGCGGUUUUGUAAGACGGAUGUGAAAUCCCCGGGCUUAACCUGGGAACUGCAUUCGUGACUGCAAGGCUAGAGUAUGGCAGAGGGGGGUAGAAUUCCACGUGUAGCAGUGAAAUGCGUAGAGAUGUGGAGGAAUACCGAUGGCGAAGGCAGCCCCCUGGGCCAAUACUGACGCUCAUGCACGAAAGCGUGGGGAGCAAACAGGAUUAGAUACCCUGGUAGUCCACGCCCUAAACGAUGUCAACUAGUUGUUGGGGAUUCAUUUCCUUAGUAACGUAGCUAACGCGUGAAGUUGACCGCCUGGGGAGUACGGUCG